ensembl:lncRNA
AAAAGGACUAGCUAUCACCUGAGUCCUGUGUGUAGGCAGUGUAUCGCUCCCUCCUCUGUUUUAAUUUCAAUUCUGUGUUCUAUCAUAAGGAGUUUAGGACAAACUUGUACUAUUCUGUGCCUCUAAGAUUUUGGUGUGGUUGGGAGCCAGUACAACAUUCAUACAAGCUGUAGCAGUGCUAGGUAUUCCAAGUAACCACAAGGUCUUUUUUUUUUUUUUGCAGUGCAGACUAGAAUACAGAUUGCCUUGGUCACAGUCCUUUCCAUGGACAUUCUAUAUGUCUGCCAGGUUAUAUCCUUUCACCAGUCAUAGAACCACAGAGCCAUAGAACCAUAGAAUCACAGAACCACUAAGAUUGGAAACGACCUCCAUGAUCAUCCAGUCCAACCUUCUACCUACCACCAAUAUUUUCCCACUAAACCACGUCCCUCAAGUACAGCAUCUGAAUGUUUCUUGAGCACCUCCAAGGACAGUGACUCCAUCAUCUCCCUAAGCAUCCUGUUACCAUGCUUGACAACUCUCUUGGAGAAAAAGUAUUUCCUAACAUCCGACCUGAAUCUCAUCUGAAUCUCCCCUGGUGCAAUGUGAGGCCCUUCCCUCUAGUCCUAUCACUAGUUACAUGGGAGAAGAGGCCAACCUCCAUCUCACCACAACCUUCUUUCAAGUUGUUGUAGAGAGUGAUAAGGUCUACCCUGAGCCUCUUCUUCUCCAGACUAAAUAUUCCCAGAUCCCUCAGCCACUCCUCGUAAGACUUGCGCUCCAGACCCCUUACCAGCUUCACUGCCCUUCUCUGAACAUGCUCCAGGGCCUUAAUGUCUUUCUUGGAAUGAGGAGCCCAAAAUUGAACUCAGUACUCAGUACAAAGCGUGAUCUCACCGGUGCCAAGUACAGGGGAAUUAUCACUUCCCUGCUCCUGCUGGCAACACUAUUUCUGAUACAAGCUAGGAUUCCAUUGGCCACCUUGGCCACCUGGUCACACUGCUGGCUCACGUUCAUUUGAGAGUCAAUCAAUACCCCCAGGUCCAUUUCCUCUACACAGUCUUCCAGCCACUCUGCCCCAAGCCUGUAGUGUCGCCUGAGGUUGUUGUGGCCAAAGUGCUGGACCCAGCACUUGGUCUUGUUGAACUUCAUCCCACUGGCCUCAGCCCAGCUACCCAGCCUGUCCAGAUUGCUCUAUAGGGCCUUCCUACCCCCAGGCAGAUCAACGCUUCUCCCCAGCUUGGUGUCAUCUGCAAACUUACUGAGGGUACACUCAAUGCCCUCAUCCAGGUCAUCAGUAAAGAUAUUGAAAAGGACAAGCCCCAGUACCAACCCCUUGGGAGCACCACUCAUGACUGGUCAACAGCUAGAUGUGACUCCAUUUACCACUGCACUCUGAGGCCAGCCAUCCAGCAAGGUGUGUACCUGUCCAAGACACGGGCUGUCAGGUUUCCCAGAAGAGGG